CGUUCUGUAAGCCUGCGAAGGUGUGCUGUGAGGCAUGCUGGAGGUAUCAGAAGUGCGAAUGCUGACAUAAGUAACGAUAAAGCGGGUGAAAAGCCCGCUCGCCGGAAGACCAAGGGUUCCUGUCCAACGUUAAUCGGGGCAGGGUGAGUCGACCCCUAAGGCGAGGCCGAAAGGCGUAGUCGAUGGGAAACAGGUUAAUAUUCCUGUACUUGGUGUUACUGCGAAGGGGGGACGGAGAAGGCUAUGUUGGCCGGGCGACGGUUGUCCCGGUUUAAGCGUGUAGGCUGGUUUUCCAGGCAAAUCCGGAAAAUCAAGGCUGAGGCGUGAUGACGAGGCACUACGGUGCUGAAGCAACAAAUGCCCUGCUUCCAGGAAAAGCCUCUAAGCAUCAGGUAACAUCAAAUCGUACCCCAAACCGACACAGGUGGUCAGGUAGAGAAUACCAAGGCGCUUGAGAGAACUCGGGUGAAGGAACUAGGCAAAAUGGUGCCGUAACUUCGGGAGAAGGCACGCUGAUAUGUAGGUGAAGUCCCUCGCGGAUGGAGCUGAAAUCAGUCGAAGAUACCAGCUGGCUGCAACUGUUUAUUAAAAACACAGCACUGUGCAAACACGAAAGUGGACGUAUACGGUGUGACGCCUGCCCGGUGCCGGAAGGUUAAUUGAUGGGGU
rnacentral:rRNA from 1 species